GAACUCGACCGUGUUGGUUCACCCUUCACUUUGAAACUCUGGACCGCCGUCUCUCUCCUUUGAUCCCUUAUGUUCAACCCCAACAUCUAAACAAACACAAAGUCAACCUCGACUCCGCUUACAAACGUCUUCAACACCCACGUUCAAAGCGCAUCGGGGAAAAAAGCUUUAUACGAAACGCUAGAAUCCAUACUGCAUCCUUCAUCUUCGGCGCCGUCAUCGCAUCAAUGUCGUGUUUCUUCCCUACAUCGAUUCAAGCUCGUCGUUCAACCUCACUGUGACCUCGGAAUCAAAAACAGCAGCGUGUCUCGUCGGUGUCGCGCUCGCGACUCGCGUUUCAUACCUCAACGAAUUCUGGAUUCGCGGGGAUAUUUGAUGGAAAACACAAUCUCCGUAACAUAACUCAAAUUAAAAUUUGCAUGAAACAAUAGCGAUUGGGGAUUGAAUACGUAUCGGAAUCCCGUAUUGCGUGUUGUUGUCGAUCGAAGUAUGACUCCAGACUCACGUUUGAUGUCCUUAUAUUCCCCAUUCAUAAGAACGUGAGGUUUAGGAGUGGAGCUGAACCUGCCUAUGCGUGGAAAAUGAAGGAGUUGCAGAGGAUUAGAAACUCGACACGGUGGAUCUCUGGUGAAUCUCAGGAAACACUCCUGCAAUUCUGGAAGCAAUCUCAAUCAGCUCACCAGCCCAAAGAGUUGCAACAACGGCAUCAUGGCUCUUACUAAGUAAAUGGUGAAAAGGGAUACCUGUUUGUUCACGUUCCAAGUCUUCGAACAGUUCCUUGGCAAAAGCAAGCUGAUCAUUGGUAAAUACCAAUAUUCGGCGCUCUUAUGAUGGCUUCGACACUGCUAAUGAUUGGAUGUCGUUGCCGUGAAUUGCAAGAUGCUAACAUGGGCAACAACAGUUUAUUAGAGGUGGAAAGAUUGGUUGUUGAAGACGGUUGAAAGGUUAGGGGUUGUUAAUUCAUGCUUAGCAAAUUUCUCCCAGUCGUUGUUAAUAUACUACCACUGCAAGCUGCCGAACUGUUACUUACCUUGCUGCUCACGAUGAAUUGCAUCGUUACUGUUCAUGUUGUCAGCUAUGCUCAGAUGAGUUUAAAUAAAGGGUUCAUACUGGUUGCUUUCAAAGUGAAGCUAUGCAGAACCGUUAACGGAAUGGUGCCGAAGGAAACGUUAGAAGCAAAAAUGCAAAGCUAGUGAAGGUUAGCUUCUGUUAUGAACUGAACACUGGAUUGAAAAACCAGUCUAAUGCAGGGUGAAGCUCUCCAUGAUAUCCUGUUAGCUCAAACACUAUUAAAGGUGAGGUUCAGUUGGGAAUUGGUUCAGAUGAGUUUCAGUUUGGAUUGAUGGUUCAUAAGCCUCGUCAUGUGAACUAACAAGGCGAAUCUGGGCAGUUUUCAUGUGAAGCCAUCAUUGGUUGCUAAUUUGUUUGUGAUGUCCAAAUAACCACUGUCAUCAAUUCAAAAUAAUUAGAAGUGCAAUCUUGUUGUAAUUGUGUAAAGUUGGAUUUUGAAAUAGUCAUGUAGUUGUGAAAUGUAAUUGUAAUAUACAUUAUAUAUUUGGCUUGUAAAUGGUGUAAUUUUAAAUUGCAUCUAAUGAUUGGAAUUGAAUGUGUUGGAAACUGAA